rnacentral:rRNA from 1 species
GUCUAUGGCCAUACCACACAGAAUGUGCCUGAUCUCAUCUGAUCUUGAAAGCUAAGCAGGAUUGGGCCUGGUUAGAACUUGGACAGAACAGAUCUUCAGAAGAGAGUGUUCAGAGACU